rnacentral:rRNA from 1 species
GAUGAACGCUAGCUACAGGCUUAACACAUGCAAGUCGAGGGGCAUCAGGAAGAAAGCUUGCUUUCUUUGCUGGCGACCGGCGCACGGGUGAGUAACGCGUAUCCAACCUGCCCUUUACUCGGGGAUAGCCUUUCGAAAGAAAGAUUAAUACCCGAUGGGAUAAUUAUUCCGCAUGGUUUGAUUAUUAAAGGAUUCCGGUAAAGGAUGGGGAUGCGUUCCAUUAGGUUGUUGGUGAGGUAACGGCUCACCAAGCCUUCGAUGGAUAGGGGUUCUGAGAGGAAGGUCCCCCACAUUGGAACUGAGACACGGUCCAAACUCCUACGGGAGGCAGCAGUGAGGAAUAUUGGUCAAUGGGCGUUAGCCUGAACCAGCCAAGUAGCGUGAAGGAUGAAGGCUCUAUGGGUCGUAAACUUCUUUUAUAUAAGAAUAAAGUGCAGUAUGUAUACUGUUUUGUAUGUAUUAUAUGAAUAAGGAUCGGCUAACUCCGUGCCAGCAGCCGCGGUAAUACGGAGGAUCCGAGCGUUAUCCGGAUUUAUUGGGUUUAAAGGGAGCGUAGGUGGACUGGUAAGUCAGUUGUGAAAGUUUGCGGCUCAACCGUAAAAUUGCAGUUGAUACUGUCAGUCUUGAGUACAGUAGAGGUGGGCGGAAUUCGUGGUGUAGCGGUGAAAUGCUUAGAUAUCACGAAGAACUCCGAUUGCGAAGGCAGCUCACUGGACUGNCACUGACACUGAUGCUCGAAAGUGUGGGUAUCAAACAGG